GUCUUUUUGAAAAUAAUAUAAAGUCUAAUCUGCCCACUGAUUAAAUAAUUAAAGGGCUGCAGUAUAUUGACUGUACAAAGGUAGCAUAAUCAUUAGUCAUUUAAUUGAUGACUUGUAUGAAGGAUUUGAUGAGAUAUAAACUGUCUCUUAUUUAAUUAUAAAAUUUAAUUUUUUUAUUAAAAAGUUAAAAUAUCUUAAAAAGACGAGAAGACCCUAUAGAGUUUAAUAAAUUAUUGUAUUGAGAUUAUAUGUAAAACAAAUUUAAAAUAAAAUUAUUUAUUUUGUUGGGGUGACAAAAAAAUACAUUAAACUUUUUUUUUAUUUUAAAACAUUUAUAAGUGAUUAAAUGAUCCAAUAAUAUUGAUUAUGAGAAAAAAUUACCUUAGGGAUAACAGCGUAAUUUUUUUUUUUAGUUCAAAUAAGAAAAAGAGUUUGCGACCUCGAUGUUGGAUUAAGAUAAAAUUUAAAUGUAGAAGUU
rnacentral:rRNA from 1 species